CAUCUUACGCAGUGGCAGUAUCGUAGCCCAUGAGGUUUAUCCGAGGCGCGAUUAUUGCUAGUUGAUAUUAAAAGAUGAUUUUUAGUUUUUAUUUUAAUUAGCGUCCAAAGAGCAAAGAGAAAAAAAAAAUCUCU